GAAGAAGAAGAAGAAGAAGAAGAAGAAGAAGAAGAAGAAGAAGACAGUGUUUUCUCCCAGCCACCCAGGUUUGCUUCAGGAAAACUACUAGCAAGUCCUACCCAAAAUGUUGGAUUCAUGUGGGACCUUCCUGCAAAGGACUUUCCCUCCUUGAUGAAAGAGCCCAAGGCUCUGGACCCGACACCCCAUCACCCUAGCGACCCCCCACAUCCCCUGCACCUUCAUGGAGAAGCCCUGAAACUCAGCUGGGUGGAGGAGGAGUGCCCUGCUAACCACUUAAAAGGGCCCGGGGUAAGCAUCCUGGGACAGGUGAGGAGCUAGAG